AAGUCGGAAUCGCUAGUAAUCGUGGAUCAGAAUGCCACGGUGAAUACGUUCCCGGGCCUUGUACACACCGCCCGUCACACCAUGGGAGUGGGCUGCAAAAGAAGUAGGUAGUUUAACCUUCGGGGGGACGCUUACCACUUUGUGGUUCAUGACUGGGGUGAAGUCGUAACAAGGUAGCGCUAGGGGAACCUGGCGCUGGAUCACCUCCUUA
rnacentral:rRNA from 1 species